CAAGUACUCCCUCCGUCCGGAAUUACUUGUCAUCAAAACGGAUGUGUAUAGAACUAAAAUACAUCUAGAUACAUCCAUUUCAAUGACAAGUAUUUUCGGACGGAGGGAGUAUAAG
rfam:Triticum aestivum genome assembly, contig: Triticum_aestivum_CS42_TGACv1_scaffold_560674_7AL